UGGUCUAAUGCGCUUAUCUUAGCUAAAACUAACGGACUUGCAGUUUAUAUAACUAAUCUAAUCGACACUUUUACUGCCUGUUUUCUUUCUUUGGUUCUGCCUUUGCUUCCUUCCGAACAUAUAUUAAAGCUUUGUCUUUAUUUUUUAUCUUUUCAGGCUUCUCGCUUUGGAUUUUUAACUCUCUUUGGAUUUUCUUGUCGGCUUAUGGAAAGUUUUAAUGAACAAAACCAUCUCAAGGAAUCAAUAUUGUCUUAGAUCAAGUGUGAAGUGGAUUAUCAAAUGAUCGAAAGGCAUCCCUAGAAAAUCUAUUUGAAAUAGAGACAGGAUAAGCUCUCAUAAGGCACACCAAAGCUUUAAAUCAAGUAAAUCCUUUGCCAAAUAAUGUCCCAUUUUGGACUCGCUGACAAAUUAGGGACUACAACGAGCUCCAAGGACCUUUACGAAGGAUAAUGCAGAUUUUUCCAGGAUUGGACUUCAAUUAAGCCGG
rnacentral:sRNA from 1 species